UACGGGGGGAGCAAGCGUUGUUCGGAUUUACUGGGCGUAAAGGGCGCGUAGGCGGUCACGACAAGUCAGUUGUGAAAUCUCCGGGCUUAACUCGGAACGGUCAACUGAUACUGUCGGACUAGAGUGCAGAAGGGGCAACUGGAAUUCUCGGUGUAGCGGUGAAAUGCGUAGAUAUCGAGAGGAACACCUGAGGCGAAGGCGGGUUGCUAGGCUGACACUGACGCUGAGGCGCGAAAGCUAGGGUAGCAAACGGG
rnacentral:rRNA from 1 species